rnacentral:rRNA from 1 species
GACGAACGCUGGCGGCGUGCCUAAUACAUGCAAGUAGAACGCUGAAGGAGGAGCUUGCUUCUCUGGAUGAGUUGCGAACGGGUGAGUAACGCGUAGGUAACCUGCCUGGUAGCGGGGGAUAACGAUUGGAAACGAUAGCUAAUACCGCAUAAUAGCAGUUGUUGCAUGAUAACUGUUUGAAAGGUGCAAUUGCACCACUACUAGAUGGACCUGCGUUGUAUUAGCUAGUUGGUGGGGUAACGGAUCACCAACGCGACGAUACAUAGCCGAACUGAGAGGGUGAUCGACCACCCUGGGAAUGAUACAGGGCAUAGUGACCCACAGGAGGCAGCAGUAGGGAAGCUUCGGCAAUGGAUGGAAGUAUUACUGAGAAACGCCGCGUGAGUGACGAAGGUCUUCGAAGUGUAAAGCUGUGUUGUAAGAGACGAACGAGUGUGAGAAUAGAAAGUUCACACUGUGACGGUAUCUUACAAGAAAGUGACGGCUAACUACGUG